rnacentral:tRNA from 1 species
UAUAAAUUAGUGUAUAGCGCACAGAGAACUUUGGAUUCUCAGGACUGGGAUCAGUACCCAAACUUAUAA